AGCGAACGCUGGCGGCAGGCUUAACACAUGCAAGUCGAGCGGGCGUAGCAAUACGUCAGCGGCAGACGGGUGAGUAACGCGUGGGAACGUACCUUUUGGUUCGGAACAACCCAGGGAAACUUGGGCUAAUACCGGAUAAGCCCUUACGGGGAAAGAUUUAUCGCCGAAAGAUCGGCCCGCGUCUGAUUAGCUAGUUGGUGAGGUAAUGGCUCACCAAGGCGACGAUCAGUAGCUGGUCUGAGAGGAUGAUCAGCCACAUUGGGACUGAGACACGGCCCAAACUCCUACGGGAGGCAGCAGUGGGGAAUAUUGGACAAUGGGCGCAAGCCUGAUCCAGCCAUGCCGCGUGAGUGAUGAAGGCCCUAGGGUUGUAAAGCUCUUUUGUGCGGGAAGAUAAUGACGGUACCGCAAGAAUAAGCCCCGGCUAACUUCGUGCCAGCAGCCGCGGUAAUACGAAGGGGGCUAGCGUUGCUCGGAAUCACUGGGCGUAAAGGGUGCGUAGGCGGGUCUUUAAGUCAGGGGUGAAAUCCUGGAGCUCAACUCCAGAACUGCCUUUGAUACUGAAGAUCUUGAGUCCGGGAGAGGUGAGUGGAACUGCGAGUGUAGAGGUGAAAUUCGUAGAUAUUCGCAAGAACACCAGUGGCGAAGGCGGCUCACUGGCCCGGUACUGACGCUGAGGCACGAAAGCGUGGGGAGCAAACA
rnacentral:rRNA from 1 species